rnacentral:rRNA from 1 species
GACGAACGCUGGCGGCGUGCUUAACACAUGCAAGUCGAACGGAAAGGCCCUGCUUUUGUGGGGUGCUCGAGUGGCGAACGGGUGAGUAACACGUGAGUAACCUGCCCUUGACUUUGGGAUAACUUCAGGAAACUGGGGCUAAUACCGGAUAGGAGCUCCUGCUGCAUGGUGGGGGUUGGAACGUUUCGGCGGUUGGGGAUGGACUCGCGGCUUAUCAGCUUGUUGGUGGGGUAGUGGCUUACCAAGGCGUUGACGGGUAGCCGGCCUGAGAGGGUGACCGGCCACAUUGGGACUGAGAGACGGCCCAGACGCCUACGGGAGGCAGCAGUGGGGAAUAUUGCACAAUGGGCGGAAGCCUGAUGCAGCAACGCCGCGUGCGGGAUGACGGCCUUCGGGUUGUAAACCGCUUUCGCCUGUGACGAAGCGUGAGUGACGGUAAUGGGUAAAGAAGCACCGGCUAACUACGUG